GUUUUUCGGUGCUCCGGGCGAACCUCAAUACCGUAAGCGACUCACGGCGCGCCGCUGAAAUGGCUUCCUCGGCUACGGAGGGAACGACCGCACUGGCUGUCGAGAACGACGCAACGUCCGCGGAGACAACAGCAGCCGAGGGCCGAGGCGAACCGGAACCGGGGGAACCGGGGGAACCGGGCAGGAGCGCAGCGCCGAAAAUGGAAGCGGUUGACGCGGAGGCCGGCGAAGAGAAGCCCGCUGCCGCGGCAGGCGAGGCCGCGAGUGAGGCGGUGACGGACGGCAGCGCCGUGACGGUGUGUCCGGGAGAACCGGAGCAGAAGAUCGAGCUGCAGGAAACGCCGGGAGGUGGAAACGAAAACCCCGCCGCCGAUAGUGCAUUGAAAGAAGCGAAGGAGGAACCGGGAGCGGGCGGCCGGUGCUCCGGGAUAAACUGCGAAAAGAGCAAAACAGUUCGUGAAGAUGGGGAGAAACCCGGCGGCGGGGGCGGGGCGCUGGGCGACGAGAGGCGGCCGAGCCUGGAGAUCUCCUCCUCGGACGGGGAGCCGCUGAGCCGCAUGGACACGGAGGACAGCAUCAGCAGCACCCUGAUGGAGAUGGAGAGCACCGUGUCCAGUGGGCGCUCCACCCCUGCUAUGAUGAACGGACAGAGCAGUGUCGGCUCCUCCGGGGCCAAGACGGUGGCGUACUCCUGCUGCUGGGACCUCUGUCCCCAGUGCUUCAACUCCAGUCCGGAUCUGGCAGAGCACAUCCGAGGCAUUCAUGUGGACGGACAGAGAGGAGGGGUGUUCUUGUGUCUGUGGAAGGGUUGUAAAGUGUACAACACGCCGUCCACCAGUCAGAGUUGGCUCCAGAGGCACAUGCUGACCCACAGCGGAGACAAGCCCUUCAAGUGUGUAGUCGGUGGCUGCCACACCAGCUUUGCUUCCCAGGGGGGGUUGGCUCGCCACGUCCCGAGCCACUUCAGCCAGCAGAGCUCCUCCAAAAUGUCCAGCCAGGCCAAACUCAAGGAAGAGUCCUCCUCCAAGGCGGGCCUCAACAAGAGGAAGAAACCCAAGAGCAAACGCAGGUGCUCCCUACGGAUCUGUUUCCCUCCUCCAGCGAGGCCCCACGACUUCUUCGAUGCCCAAACCAUGGAUGCUAUUCGGCACAGGGCCAUCUGUCUUAACCUCGCCACCCACAUCGAAAGUGUGGGCAGCGGCCACAGUGUGGUGUUCAACAGCACGGUGGUGGCCAAAAGGAAAGAGCGGUCCGGCAAGGUGAAGGUCCUCCUCCACUGGACACCUGAGGACAUACUACCUGACGUGUGGGUGAAUGAGACGGAGCGAUCCCAGCUGAAGUCCAAAGUGGUGCACUUAUCCCAGUUACCGCAGGACGCCGCCAUGCUGCUCGACCCAAACAUCUAUAGUGCAUCGCGUUCCACUCAACAUUCACUCCGGUGAUAUUUGAAUCCUGUGCCGACCGCGUCGACUCGUCACUGAGAUGAAAAAACAAGAGCACUUCCUCAAAAGCAGCUGAAGCGCAGCCUGUAAAGAGUCAUCUGUGGACUUGAUACCGAAGGGAACUGCUUAUUCAUAGGAGCUUUAUCUAUAUGGGAUGCGACGCUCUUCAUCCGUCUCAGCUGAAAGGGGCCGAGUGAAGUGACGAUAAAAGGAAAUGAAACUUGGUAACGCUGCACAAGCGGGACUCCGCUUUUUUUGCUUUUUUACGUUUGUGUUCAUCAAAAAUUCAAAUGAAUGUUUUUUUUAACAAGCAACAAAUUCAAACAUAUUCUUAAUACCCAAUGGUGUAAAAAGAUGUUUUUGUAACUAUGUCAGAAAAUACAGCAUAUUUUAUAAAUGUUUUUGUGUAAACUAUUUAUGCAUAUUUGUAACUUAUUUUUAUACCAUGGUAAUGCUGUAAUGUGGAUUUUUGUGAAAGUUUUAAACGGAGCCGUAUUUACUGUGAUAAUCUAUAUCAACUGUCACUUGAAGGCAUAUUCGGACAUUUGUAGUUGUAACUAAGCUGUACAUGACAUAAAUCUUCUCCUAUGUAUACCUCCUGAAUGCAGUACUUACCCGUGUACAUGACGAUGAAGACUGAGGUUGUGCCAGGCAUGAUCUUCAUCUGACCCAGUUUAUAGCCAACAUAUAAAGGACUAACAUCUCAUCACACACUCCAAGUGUAAAUCACAACUUCCUCUUCCCCUAGUGACAUAAACUGUGUAUAUCAUAGUUGUUAUUACACAUUUCUGCUAUUUAAGCACUCAGAAGUUAUCGUUGAAAUAAAGUUGUUUUCUACUGUAUGUGAUGCAAGCGGAAUACUCUGUAAUAAAAGGAGGAUGUCGA